GAAGAAGAAGACGCUAACGCAGUCAGGACAGUUCGGACAUUGCGGUGAAUCAGAGGCACUCACUGACCUUGCCGUUCCUCAUCUGGAACCCUCAACAAUAGGCUGUCAGGACCACUGGAGGAACUGAAAGGAGAAGAGGCAGAGCGCUUAAACUAAAGGAUGAUUGGGUGUUGGCUGGGUCGGAAAGGGGGGCAAUGCUCAACUGUGACAGCACAAGACUCUCUGAAAAGGACAGAUUUCAGUCCAUGGCUAAGCUGCCCACUUCUCAGUCGAUGAUAAGCUAAGCACUGAAAACAGAAUAGUGAUCCACACACAAAUCACUUCCUCUCCAAGUACACAAGAGCUUCACAUUUGUAUACCCAUGAAAAGUGCAUGCAAACAAGUUUCUGAUUGUCUUGAUUCAUCGGAGCACUAUGGACAUUACAGCCAUUCGAAUGCCUCCAUUAGGCACCAUAUGUUCGCCCGUGGCGCAUGGCCUCAUCUUUGAAGUGGGUCCCAGUAGUUUAUUAUCCAGCAGUGAGGAAAUAUAUCAGCAGGAUCAGGAGCAUACACAAAUACAGUACAUACAUUCAAACACAAGGUACAGUAAGAAGAGUUUAACAAUCCUACAAUAUUGUUAAUCCAGUAAAACGUAGUUUAAACUGUGAGGGACAAUGUGGACUUUUUGUCAAUUCCAGAAAAGAUGAGACACUUUCAGAAAGGCUGGCCUUGGUUCAGUUGGAUAAAAGAAAAUGUUACAUCAUAACUCCAUUAACCCUCUUACUACUGACCAUGUCUGUUUCCACUGCGGGUGUGGAGGAAUGAGAAGGGUGUGCAAUGCCCUGCAGCAAGCAAACUUGCUCCGUUAGCAACUUGGAGGAC
ensembl:lncRNA